AAAAAGCUCAAACUCAGUCUUGAUGUUUCAAGAUUAGUUUGCUUCUUAUUAACAUUCCAUUUUUUUUUUGUAUAUUUUGCAAAUAAAAUUUGACAAAUCAAAUGUACCUUAGAGGAGCAGCGAGGAACCAGACGCAUGCUGGAAGCUUCCAUACUGAAGACUCAAUCUAAUCUAAUUAACACAAAAAAAUGUUGCAAAUGCAGAUUUCGCUUUGCAAACGAACUAGCGACACAGAAACUCUUCAGUGGUAUCACUUGGAAGGUUUAGUUACAAAGAAGGACUAUCGAUUUACAUAAAAUGAAUCUGAGGAGAAUUUUUCAAAAUUAUGGCGAUUCAGUUUGAUUAAAACGCUUAAUAUAGGGGAAGGGCGGUAAAGACGGACACCUUAAGGUAAUGAUAUGACCCUAGAAGAAUCGCAUAUAGGUUUCAAGAAGAAAUGUAUAGAGCUCUUAAAUUGCUAGAAAUUGUUUUAUUGAGUACGUAGUUUAAAUUCAGUGUCGCUUGUUCUAUUGUUAAGAUCAAUGUAACGGAAAAAAGACAUUUUGUCUUAUGUUACGUGUUAUAAAUAAAUAAACUAAACUAA